CCGAAUCAAUGGGGUAACAGAUGUCGCAGCCAGAUCAUCUUCCCAUCCUAAACAUGGACUUUUGAAUCACACACAGUGACAUCGGUCAUUUCCCUUGCUAUACUUCAAGUGUGUGUCUGCUGAAGAGUGGACCAAAUUGGUGAUGUUUGUGUCGGUGGUUCCCCUUCACACAGAAUGGGCUUACAGGAAGAGGAUAACUGUUCUGGAGGCCCUGCCACAACCAGAACUGGGGGUGCUAGAUGGCAGAAGUAGA
rnacentral:lncRNA from 10 species